CUUCUGCCUUUCAUGUUUCAAGGACCUGUAAGUGGGAUUGAAAUCUGACUUCUGGUCCUGCUCAGUGUACACAGAGCUUGGAAUGCUAUCAGGAAACUCCAAGGGAAAGUAAAUGGCAGCACAAUGAAGAUGCUGGAGCUCUGUGUACAAACCUCAGACUCAGAGUGUUGAUAUAAUCAUUAUUUCAUUCUUGCUGACUCCAAUAUUGAUCACGUCACUCAUUUCACUGCAGUGGGUUGUGAUUUAAGCUGGUAAAUGUAAUAUCAGCCCCCAGGAUGAUUACAGCUGAGCACCCUUUGUUUUCUAUGAAAUACAGUAUUUGUGGGCAUUUAUCACAUGGGCCACGGUGUGUACAAAUCUGCUGUGGCAACAAGAAUAAAGGAAAAGAAGAUAAUUGACAUGGUGCCUCCUGUCCAUGUCUGAUUAAGUGUGUUCUAACAGGGGGCCAUCCAGCCCAUGCCUCCCCAGCUAUCUGUGCAGUAUCUAGUACAGAUCCUUGGGGGGUGGAAAAAUCGGAACAGAGCAAAUAUAGCCUCGGAGAGGGAGCAGUUGGAGCCUGCAGACAAUGUGGAGCUUCACUUUAGAGGAGCGAGGCUUGGACUUGGGACUGAAACCAAAAGAGGGAGCAAGAGUUGAUGGAGGAAGGGAAAUGAGAGGUAUGUUGUAGACCCAGUUUGUACCUGGAAACUCUGAUCACUGAGCUCUGCACUGCCCAGGAUGGGAAGAUGCUGCUGCAGACUCACCUGGGAUCCUCCUUGGCUCCUACAGCAUAAACAUCAGCUAAUCUGAAUAUUGAAAUGGAAAACAUGGAAGAUGUGCAGUAUCAGUGUUUUCUUCUAGUUAGCUUCAAUAUUUCCUUUAACUGCUUCCAAAAUGCUACUUCACCGGGAACUUUAGUAGACAAUAUCAGCUCUGUGUAUGAUAAAGUGUGAAAGGUUCUCUUUCUUUACCUAUAAAAUUCUUAAUGGUAGACAAAUAGAAACUUUUUAUUGAGAAACCUUAAGUAUUACUUUCCAUUUCUGUUAUUUAUAGUGAGAUUCUUAAUUCUCAUUGAACUCUGGAUUAUGUUAUUUUCCUUGAUGUAACACAAAGCAAAACUUCAUCUGAUAGAAGAUGAAAUAAAAAAACUAGAUCUGCACCUACAAGUUAUGAUCCUAAUUAUUGCAACAAUUCAGGAACUCACCUGAUAUACCAGGUACUACCAUUUAUUUUUUAUUUGUUAUAUUGAUGUCAAUUUAAAAAGCAAAACUAAGAAUUUGUUUGUUGGGUUUUUUUUUUAAAUAUAUUGACUUGUAGCUAUUGUGCAUCUUGUGUUGUCACAUUUGGUUUUUAAAAACUAGCAUUUUGAUAUAAAAUCACAAAUUAAUCACCAUUGGUUCUGUUACAGUCAAAAUGUAGCUUGUCUUCAUUUAUUAAUUGAAUAUGGGCUGUAUUUAGUGGUGUCAUGGUUUAACCCCAGCAGCUGCUCACUCGUGACCCCAUCUACAUGUUCCAUGAGUUCCUUAAUGUCCUGGGCCCAUCAGGCUAUAAAAAACCAGCAGGAGUGGAAAAAAA